rnacentral:rRNA from 1 species
GGUUUGACGGUACCUAUAAAGGAAGCACCGGCUAACCCCGUGCCAGCAGCCGCGGUAAUACGGGGGGUGCAAGCGUUGUUCGGAAUUAUUGGGCGUAAAGCGCGUGUAGGCGGUCUGAUUAGUCUGAUGUGAAAGCCCUGGGCUCAACCCAGGAAGUGCAUUGGAUACUGUCAGACUUGAAUACGGGAGAGGGUAGUGGAAUUCCUAGUGUAGGAGUGAAAUCCGUAGAUAUUAGGAGGAACACCGGUGGCGAAGGCGGCUACCUGGACCGAUAUUGACGCUGAGACGCGAAAGCGUGGGUAGCAAACAGGAUUAGAUACCCUGGUAGUCCACGCCGUAAACGAUGAGAACUAGGUGUCGCGGGUA